rnacentral:rRNA from 1 species
GGGUUGUGAGGUUAAGCGACUAAGCGUACACGGUGGAUGCCUAGGCAGUCAGAGGCGAUGAAGGGCGUGCUAAUCUGCGAUAAGCGUCGGUAAGCUGAUAUGAAGCGUUAUACCCGACGAUACCCGAAUGGGGAAACCCAGUGUGUUUCGACACACUAUCAUUACGUGAAUACAUAGCGUAAUGAGGCGAACCGGGGGAACUGAAACAUCUCAGUACCCCGAGGAAAAGAAAUCAACCGAGAUUCCCCUAGUAGCGGCGAGCGAACGGGGAGGAGCCCAGAACCUGAAUCAGUUUGUGUGUUAGUGGAAGCGUCUGGAAAGUCGCACAGUAAAGGGUGAUAGUCCCGUACACAAAAAUGCACAAGUUGUGAGUUCGAUGAGUAGGGCGGGACACGUGACAUCCUGUCUGAAUAUGGGGGGACCAUCCUCCAAGGCUAAAUACUCCUGACUGACCGAUAGUGAACCAGUACCGUGAGGGAAAGGCGAAAAGAACCCCGGCGAGGGGAGUGAAAUAGAACCUGAAACCGUGUACGUACAAGCAGUGGGAGCCUACUUGUUAGGUGACUGCGUACCUUUUGUAUAAUGGGUCAGCGACUUAUAUUCUGUAGCAAGGUUAACCG